AUGGUGUUGCUUGACAUUAGGGGUAUGUUGCAGUCCAUGGGAAAAGACAUAGCUGAUUUCGCUCUUCCAUGCAUUGACGAUGCGUUCGACCCAAACGAGGGCGAGGCCAGAGAAGUGAUCGAGGAAUCCAACAUCGAUUUUGACAUCAACGACAUAUUGGCAUCGUCACUAAACUUGGAGCAGAGGGUUGCAUACGACGAGAUACUAGCUGCUGUUGAACGCGGUGAUGGGGGUGUGUUCUUUGUUGAUGGCCCGGGAGGUACAGGGAAGACCUUCCUGUACAGGGCGCUGCUCGCCAAGGUUCGAAGCGAGGGAAACAUCGCUAUCGCUACCGCGACGUCAGGUGUCGCCGCUUCUAUCAUGCCUGGAGGUAGGACUGCCCACUCGAGGUUCAAGAUCCCAUUGAGCUGCGACGAUGGCGCCUCAUGCACCUUCACGAAGCAGAGUGGUACCGCCAAGCUACUGAGGAUGGCCUCAUUGAUACUAUGGGACGAGGCCACCAUGACUAAGCGACAGGCGGUCGAGGCACUCGACAACAGCAUGCGCGACAUCAUGGGAAGACGGGACCGACCCUUUGGAGGAAAAACUGUUGUGUUUGGCGGGGACUUCAGGCAGGUGCUUCCAGUCGUCGGGAGGGGUCCCGGGGUCAGAUAA
rnacentral:rRNA from 1 species